GACGAACGCUGGCGGCGUGCUUAACACAUGCAAGUCGAACGGAAAGGCCCUGCUUUUGUGGGGUGCUCGAGUGGCGAACGGGUGAGUAAUACGUGAGUAACCUGCCCUUGACUUUGGGAUAACUUCAGGAAACUGGGGCUAAUACUGGAUAGGAGCUCCUGCUGCAUGGUGGGGGUUGGAAAGUUUCGGCGGUUGGGGAUGGACUCGCGGCUUAUCAGCUUGUUGGUGGGGUAGUGGCUUACCAAGGCUUUGACGGGUAGCCGGCCUGAGAGGGUGACCGGCCACAUUGGGACUGAGAUACGGCCCAGACUCCUACGGGAGGCAGCAGUGGGGAAUAUUGCACAAUGGGCGGAAGCCUGAUGCAGCAACGCCGCGUGCGGGAUGACGGCCUUCGGGUUGUAAACCGCUUUCGCCUGUGACGAAGCGUGAGUGACGGUAAUGGGUAAAGAAGCACCGGCUAACUACGUG
rnacentral:rRNA from 1 species